AUUUAAGUAGUUUAUUAAAAACAUUAGUUUGUGGAAUUAAAAAUAUAAAAUAAUAAUUAUCUUAAAUU
rnacentral:tRNA from 1 species